UACGUAGGGUGCAGGCGUUAAUCGGAAUUACUGGGCGUAAAGCGUGCGCAGGCGGUCUAUUAAGACAGGUGUGAAAUCCCCGGGCUUAACCUGGGAACUGCGCUUGUAACUGAUAGGCUUGAGUGGUGGCAGAGGGGGGUGGAAUUCCAGGUGUAGCAGUGAAAUGCGUAGAUAUCUGGAGGAACACCGAUGGCGAAGGCAGCCCCCUGGGCUAACACUGACGCUCAUGCACGAAAG
rnacentral:rRNA from 1 species